rnacentral:lncRNA from 1 species
AUGCCGCAGCCAUCCACAGCAAGGGAAAGCGGGGGCAGGCCCACAGAAAUGCCUGUGAUGCCUAAAAUCGCCUUGAGAUCUCCAAGUGAUCGUUUCUUAACAUUUCAAGAUGCCAGUCCAGAGUUUAAAACUGUCAGUGCUAUAGCACAGGCAGCUGGGACCAGAAGUUCAGGUCUCACUGCAGAUUGUACACGUCCUCCCGUGAGUGCACCCAUGCUGGCAGACAUCAAAUCUGAGUGUUCCCUGAACGCUGGCCAACAGCAGCUGCCUCCUUACAGAGCAAGAUCCAAAUCUUUAGAGAGUGGCCUUCAAAGCAGGGAACGUGACCAUCAGCCUUCCUAA